rnacentral:rRNA from 1 species
AUUGAACGCUGGCGGCAGGCCUAACACAUGCAAGUCGAGCGGAUGAAGGGAGCUUGCUCCUGGAUUCAGCGGCGGACGGGUGAGUAAUGCCUAGGAAUCUGCCUGGUAGUGGGGGAUAACGUCCGGAAACGGGCGCUAAUACCGCAUACGUCCUGAGGGAGAAAGUGGGGGAUCUUCGGACCUCACGCUAUCAGAUGAGCCUAGGUCGGAUUAGCUAGUUGGUGGGGUAAAGGCCUACCAAGGCGACGAUCCGUAACUGGUCUGAGAGGAUGAUCAGUCACCCUGUAACUGAGCCCGGUCCCAGCCUCCGCCGGGGGCAGGCGGGGGGGAUUUUUGGAAGAGGGAGAAAGGCUUGAUCCAGCCAUGCGGCGGGUGUAAGGAGGUUCUUCGGAUUUAAAACCCUUUAAGUUGGGGAGAAGGGACAUUAUGUUAAUCCUUGCUUUUUUGGCGUUACCCAAAAAAAUAACCCCCGCCUACCUCCGUC